GUCCCUGUAGCACAGUGGAUAGCGCGUUGGUCUUCUAAUCCAAAUGUCCCGGGUUCGAAUCCAGGCUGGGAUG